rnacentral:rRNA from 1 species
AGGCAAGCUUUAUCAUGUUACAUUUAAAUAAAUGCCUGUUAUAAAUGCAUGUCUUAUGCUCUAUGGAGCAAAAAUACAACUUUAACAACGGAUCUCUUGGCUUUCGCAUCGAUGAAGAACGCCGCGAACGUGCGAAACGUAAUGUGAAUUGCAGAAUUCAGUGAAUCAUCGAAUCUUUGAACGCAUCUUGCGCUCCUUGGUAUUCCGAGGAGCAUGCCUGUUUGAGUGUCGUGAAACCUCUCAAUUUCUUAUUUAUUUAUAAGAGAAUUGGAUUUGGAUGCUGCCGUGAUUAACUUACGGCUCGUUCGAAAUGCAUUAGCUGGUCCACUCUCGGUCUCUUAAUAGUGUGAUAAAAAAAAUCUUAUUCUCUGUUAUGACGGAGUUGUGACUGCUUCCAAUGGUCCCUUACGGGGGGACAAGCAUAUUACAAUGUGACCUCAAAUCAGGUAGGACUACCCGCUGAACUUAAGCAUAUCAAUAAGCGGAGGA